rnacentral:sRNA from 1 species
UGAAGACACAGGGACGGGGAAGAAGUACAUAUGUAGUCACAAACAAGAUCAGUUCGAACUUGCAACCAGGAAAAGAUAUCUCUUUAGUAGUUUUCUAGUUAUCUACUAGUAACAAAACAUCUCCGAGUCUAUGUGGAGUACGAUCGAGAUCCUUAUCAUCAUCAUCAUCAUCAUCAUUACCAUCAGGUUCAAAGACAAAUAUCUUUAUGUGCUUGACCAUUUAAAAAAAAAAAACCCCCACUGUAAUACUGUAUGCAUUUGGUUGAUACCUUAUAUUGUCAUAAGAGUGUUCGUAUUUCCGAAGAAGAAAAAAUCAGGUAAAUUCAUUGUAAGGUAUAUAUAACAUUUUAAUUUGUUCAAAAAAUAAAACAAUAACAUAGUC